rnacentral:lncRNA from 1 species
UAUAAAACUUUCUCAUGGCUCUUUCUGUUUCUGGAGAUUUUCUUGCAACAAGUUUUGUUGAUAUCUCCAUUCUUGGGUCGGUUUUAACUUUUAACACUAUUACAUCAUUUUGUCAUCUCUUUUGUCUUUUAAUUUUGUCAUAAUUUGAAAGGCCUCAAGAGGAGAAUCUCAAAACCGCCUGUUGUGAUUUAGCAUUCCCAUUCGAAACCAAAACAAAACAACUAAUCUGCAGCUAGGUAUGGACAUUCGAUUAUUUGGUUCUGUUUGAAUUUUUCAGAUCGCAUUCAACAUCAAAUUCUUGUUCGGUUUGGUUCUGAUUUUUUUAACUUCAGAAUUUUUGAUUUAGAAAAUUUCCAUUCGGGAACAAAUUACAUUUUGGUUCUGUUUUGGACAAAAAGUUAGAAUUAAAAAAAAAACAAAAACGAUUUAACUUAAUUUAUGUAAGAUUGUUGCUUUUUGAUAAAUUCAAAUAUAUUAUAGAUUUUAAAAAAAUAUUAGUUCUUUUAGUAAAUUUCAGUUAGUUCCUUUUGGUUUAACAAAGUUCGAAUUCAAUUUGGUUGGAGAUCAGGGUAAAUCUGGUAUUAAAAUUUCUAUUAUUUUCUGGUUAUUUUGGCAUUCGGUUUAGAUUCAGUUUCUUUAAUCUUGGUAAGAGCUGAAGUUAAAAGAAUAUUUUUUGAAAUAGCACUUUGCAAUAUUAAAAUAUAAUUUUUUAUAAAUUGGUUUAUGAACGUAUAUAAAAAUAUCUCUAUAUUUUCAAUUGGUUUAUGAACGUCCAUAAAUUUUCUCCAUUAAUAACUACUUGAACAAUUUUAUUCACAUGUUUUUAACGUCAAAAUCUUAUAUACAUAUUAUAAAAUUGUAUAAAACCUAAUAAACAUUUUAUAAUAUUCUAUAUAAAAUUUUCUAAACUUUAUCAAUAUAUUUUUAACCUAGUUUAUGAAUGUUUAUAGAAGCAAGUGGACUAGUGGUUGUUACACUUCUGUUCUUAUCUCACCCGAGUGGAGGUCGACUCCAACCUUCCCCAUAUGGGAUGUUGACAAAAUAUGUAUUACAAAUAAGCACUAGGCUAAAGACGCUCAACAAACUGAUGCUUUAAGCACCAAAAUAUUUUAAACAUUGUAUAAGUAUCAAUUUACAGUAUUUAAUUAUAGUUAGUAGUUUAACCCGGUUUACAGUAUUACUUUGCAUGUUUUAUCCUUUUUUUGUUUUUUUUGUUGAAAAAGGUAUUUAUUAAUAAC